AUUGAACGCUGGCGGCAUGCCUAACACAUGCAAGUCGAGCGGAUGAAGGGGGCUUGCUCCUGGAUUCAGCGGCGGACGGGUGAGUAAUGCCUAGGAAUCUGCCUGGUAGUGGGGGAUAACGUCCGGAAACGGGCGCUAAUACCGCAUACGUCCUGAGGGAGAAAGUGGGGGAUCUUCGGACCUCACGCUAUCAGAUGAGCCUAGGUCGGAUUAGCUAGUUGGUGGGGUAAAGGCCUACCAAGGCGACGAUCCGUAACUGGUCUGAGAGGAUGAUCAGUCACACUGGAACUGAGACACGGUCCAGACUCCUACGGGAGGCAGCAGUGGGGAAUAUUGGACAAUGGGCGAAAGCCUGAUCCAGCCAUGCCGCGUGUGUGAAGAAGGUCUUCGGAUUGUAAAGCACUUUAAGUUGGGAGGAAGGGCAGUAAGUUAAUACCUUGCUGUUUUGACGUUACCAACAGAAUAAGCACCGGCUAACUUCGUG
rnacentral:rRNA from 1 species